rnacentral:rRNA from 1 species
GACGAACGCUGGCGGCGUGCUUAACACAUGCAAGUCGAACGAUGAAACCUAGCUUGCUAGGUCGAUUAGUGGCGAACGGGUGAGUAACACGUGACUAACCUGCCCCUUUCUCUGGGAUAACGCUCCGAAAGGAGUGCUAAUACCGGAUACUCACACCGAGGCACAUGCCUUGGCGUGGAAAGUUUUUCGGAAAGGGAUGGAGUCGCGGCCUAUCAGCUUGUUGGUGAGGUAACGGCUCACCAAGGCGACGACGGGUCGCCGGCCUGAGAGGGCGACCGGCCACACUGGGACUGAGACACUGCCCAGACUCCUACGGGAGGCAGCAGUGGGGAAUAUUGCACAAUGGGCGCAAGCCUGAUGCAGCGACGCCGCGUGAGGGAUGAAGGUCUUCGGAUUGUAAACCUCUUUCAGUAGGGACGAAGCGAAAGUGGCGGUACCUAAAGAAGAAGCACCGGCUAACUACGUGCCAGCCGCCGCGGUAA